GCCAGUCAUGGUGGUGUGUGCCUGUAAUCCUAGCAACUUGGGAGGCUGAGGCAGGAGGAACACAAGUACAAGGCCAUCCUCAGAAACUUAGCAAGGCCCUAAGCAACUCAGUGUCACCCUGUCUCAA
rnacentral:sRNA from 1 species